AUGGGGUGAGACAUUGUUACUAAUUUGUAAAUAAAGCCAGUUUGUUAUUUAGAAUGAUUUAUUUAUGUUUUUAGAGGGAGAAAAACCAAAAACCUACAGUUAUUUCACAGGUCUCCCAGUUGAGGCCAGCACAGGUAUUGAACCAGCAUCUGUAACAACACAGCUUGCAAAGCCAUGCAGUGUCUUAAACCAUCGCGCCACUCAGCUGCUGUGCAACAUGGCUGGUCGGGAGUGGGGUACAGUACUACAAAUUAGGCAGUACGUCCAACUGGCCUCAAAACCGCAGACCAUGUGUAAAGAAACCAGCCCAGGACCACAAGAUCCGGCUUCUCCACCUACCGGAUGAUCUGAGACCAGCCAACCAGACAGCUGAUGAAACUGGCCUUGACUUGACUGUAGUUCGGCGUCGGGAAAAUGUGGGGAAAUGCUCACCUUCGAUGGCCACUGGCAUGCUGGAGAAGUGUGCUCUUCAGGGAUGAAUUCCAGUUUCAACUGUACCGGGCAGAUGGCAGACUGGAAUGUU